rnacentral:rRNA from 1 species
AUUGAACGCUAGCGGCAGGCCUAAUACAUGCAAGUCGAACGAUAUUACCCAGCUUGCUGGGUAUGAAAGUGGCGCACGGGUGCGUAACGCGUAUGCAACCUACCUUAUUCAGGGGGAUAGCCCGAAGAAAUUCGGAUUAACACCGCAUAAAAUCACAGUUCAGCAUUGGACAAUGAUCAAAUAUUUAUAGGAAUAAGAUGGGCAUGCGUGUCAUUAGCUAGUUGGCGGGGUAACGGCUCACCAAGGCGACGAUGACUAGGGGAUCUGAGAGGAUGACCCCCCACACUGGUACUGAGACACGGACCAAACUCCUACGGGAGGCAGCAGUAAGGAAUAUUGGUCAAUGGAGGCAACUCUGAACCAGCCAUGCCGCGUGCAGGAAGACGGCCCUCUGGGUUGUAAACUGCUUUUAUUCGGGAAUAAACCUAUUUACGUGUAAAUAGCUGAAUGUACCGAAGGAAUAAGGAUCGGCUAACUCCGUGCCAGCCGCCGCCGUAA